rnacentral:rRNA from 1 species
UACGUAGGGUGCAAGCGUUGUCCGGAAUUAUUGGGCGUAAAGAGCUCGUAGGCGGUUUGUCGCGUCGAAUGUGAAAACCCGGGGCUCAACCCCGGGCCUGCAUUCGAUACGGGCAGACUAGAGUUCGGUAGGGGAGUCUGGAAUUCCUGGUGUAGCGGUGGAAUGCGCAGAUAUCAGGAGGAACACCGAUGGCGAAGGCAGGUCACUGGGCCGCAACUGACGCUGAGGAGCGAAAGCAUGGGGGAGCGAACAGG